rfam:Brassica napus, WGS project CCCW01000000 data, contig: 440
GGAAUAUAAGAGCCCGUCUCUUAACUUUUAACUAAAAAAAGCUAAGAACCAGUUUUUAAAUAAGAGUUUUAAGAGCCGGUUCUUAGCUUUUGUAGUUAAAAGUUAAGAGACGAGUUUUUAUAUUCC